rnacentral:rRNA from 1 species
CCUACGGGUGGCAGCAGUGGGGAAUAUUGGGCAAUGGACGCAAGUCUGACCCAGCAACGCCGCGUGAAGGAAGAAGGCUUUCGGGUUGUAAACUUCUUUUAAGGGGGAAGAGCAGAAGACGGUACCCCUUGAAUAAGCCACGGCGAACUACGGGCCAGCAGCCGCGGUAAUACGUAGGUGGCAAGCGUUGUCCGGAUUUACUGGGUGGAAAGGGCGUGAAGCCGGUGAGACAAGUCCGAUGUGAAAUCCACGGGCUCAACCCGUGAACUGCCUUGGAAACUGUUUCCCUUGAGUGUCGGAGAGGUCAUCGGCUUUCCUUUUGUAGCGGUCAACUGCGUAGAUAUACG